rnacentral:rRNA from 1 species
CGAUGGGAAACAGGUUAAUAUUCCUGUACUUGGUGUUACUGCGAAGGGGGGACGGAGAAGGCUAUGUCGGCCGGGCGACGGUUGUCCCGGUUUAAGCAUGUAGGCGGAGGUUCCAGGUAAAUCCGGUACCUUUUAACGCUGAGGUGUGAUGACGAGGCACUACGGUGCUGAAGUGACAAAUGCCCUGCUUCCAGGAAAAGCCUCUAAGCAUC